GGGUCCAACUGCAGCUUGCAGCAGUCGCUCACGCCAGGCCCCCUGCUCACGCCGCGCCCGCUCACGCCGCGCCCCCGCUGGCACGCAACUUCCGACUUUCAGACAUGUACAGUUUGUUUACAAGACGCAGAUGGACCAUAUUGCCAUAUUGAGUCAUGGCGGCAACAACUCCCGGGAAGCACCUGUGACUUAGCUCAUCACAUUGCACUGGGCCAGUGGACAACUAAAUUUGGCAAAGACAUUGAGGGUUUCCCUCAUCAAACUACUGUAAAUUCUUGUGGCAUCUUAAUGUUGAUGUAUGCACUCAGCCUGAGCACAGAGGCUCCAUUUUGGUUCAUUGAGAGGGACAUGGCACGCAUCCGAAAAUGGUGGUGCAUUAGUCUAAUGUAACGGUUCCAGAUUGACGGCCAUGGACAGAGGUUUGCAUACUGGACUAAUGAGGCCAGAGCAUUGCUCCAAGGUUCACUGCAGCCGAUAUACAGGGUCCCAAAGGUCAGCAAGAGGGAACAUGAGGUUUCGAUUAGAAAAGGAUGACAGGUGCAUCAUAUUGGAGUUACCAACGUGUGUGCUUUCUGAAAUCCUAAAUGAAGUGGUACUACAGGAAGGAGAUAAGGCAUACUUAAGAUUGGCUCUUGUGUGUACCACCUUCAGGGACACUGUGUCCACUGACUCCUUCAGGAGACGGGCACAUUUUCAGUGGCUUGACAGUGUCGCUACAUGGAGCAGGUUUUCUGAGUCCUAAAGAAAAGAAUUCUACACCAUGUACACCGUGGACACCUGUCGUGAAUGUGGAAUGCGUUUUAAAAACUGCACACCUGGAUAUGUUGGAACAGGAAAAAGGGGUGUACUUGAAGCAGUUUACUCAGAAGACCCACAUCCAGAGAAAACGGACACGUAUACUACCUGUUGGCAGACAACCCUGAGCCUGCUGGGUGUUUUUCAAGCUGCAGGCCCCCGUGACAAUUUGUGGCUGGAAACUUGGGAUUGAAUUUUGAAUUCUCCAGUGUUAUUACAGACUGUUAAUUAAUUGUUUAUGACAAAAAAGAGAUGUCAUAUGUUUAAACAACUUUUGGGUGAACUUUUUGUAUAAUUUUAAAAAUGUUAAAACUAACAUCUAUUGAGAGUCUACUUUAUGCUUUUUUGGUUUUAAUAACGUCCUGUUCAAUGUGUAAUAAA